GACAGAGGGUGCAAACGUUGUUCGGAAUUACUGGGCGUAAAGCGCGUGUAGGCUGCUCUGCAAGUCGGAUGUGAAAGCCCUGGGCUCAACCUAGGAAGUGCACUCGAAACUGCAGAGCUUGAGUCCUGGAGAGGAAGGCGGAAUUCUCGGUGUAGAGGUGAAAUUCGUAGAUAUUCGCAAGAACACCAGUGGCGAAGGCGGCUCACUGGCCCGGUACUGACGCUGAGACGCGAAAGCGUGGGGAGCGAACAGG
rnacentral:rRNA from 1 species